GACGAACGCUGGCGGCGUGCUUAACACAUGCAAGUCGAACGGAAAGGCCCUGCUUUUGUUGGGUGCUCGAGUGGCGAACGGGUGAGUAACACGUGAGUAACCUGCCCUUUACUUUGGGAUAACGUCAGGAAACUGUUGCUAAUACCUGAUAGGUGCUCCUGCUGCCUGGUGGGGGAUGGAAAGUUUCGGCUGUUGGGGAUGGACUCGCGGCUUAUCAGCUUGUUGGUGGGGUAGUGGCUUACCAAGGCUUUGACGGGUAGCCGGCAUGAGAGGGUGACCGGCGCCAAUGGGACUGCGAUACGGACCAGACUCCUACGGGAGGCAACAGUGGGGACUAUUGUACAAUGGGCGGAAGCCUGAUGCAGCGACGCCGGGUGCGGGAUGACGGCCUUCGGGUUGUAAACCGCUUUCGCCUGUGACGACGCGUGAGUGACGGUAAUGGGUAAAGAAGCACCGGCUAACUACGUG
rnacentral:rRNA from 1 species